UACGUAGGGUGCAAGCGUUUGUUCGGAUUCAUUGGGCGUAAAGGGUGCGUAGGCGGCGCGGUAAGUCGGGUGUGAAAUCUUGGAGCUUAACUCCGAAACUGCAUUCGAUACUGCCGUGCUUGAGGACUGGAGAGGAGACUGGAAUUUACGGUGUAGCGGUGAAAUGCGUAGAUAUCGUAAGGAAGACCAGUGGCGAAGGCGGGUCUCUGGACAGUUCCUGACGCUGAAGCACGAAGGCCAGGGGAGCAAACGGG
rnacentral:rRNA from 1 species